rnacentral:rRNA from 1 species
UACGGAGGGGGCUAGCGUUGUUCGGAAUUACUGGGCGUAAAGCGCACGUAGGCGGCUUUGUAAGUUAGAGGUGAAAGCCCGGGGCUCAACUCCGGAAUUGCCUUUAAGACUGCAUCGCUAGAAUUGUGGAGAGGUAAGUGGAAUUCCGAGUGUAGAGGUGAAAUUCGUAGAUAUUAGCAGGAACACCGGUGGCGAAGGCGGCUAUCUGGACGACAACUGACGCUGAGGCGCGAAAGCGUGGGGAUCAAACAGG